rnacentral:rRNA from 1 species
UGGGGAAUAUUGCACAAUGGGCGCAAGCCUGAUGCAGCCAUGCCGCGUGUGUGAAGAAGGCCUUCGGGUUGUAAAGCACUUUCAGCGGGGAGGAAGGCGGUGAGGUUAAUAACCUCAUCGAUUGACGUUACCCGCAGAAGAAGCACCGGCUAACUCCGUGCCAGCAGCCGCGGUAAUACGGAGGGUGCAAGCGUUAAUCGGAAUUACUGGGCGUAAAGCGCACGCAGGCGGUCUGUCAAGUCGGAGGUGAAAUCCCCGGGCUCAACCUGGGAACUGCAUUUGAAACUGGGAGGCUGGAGUCUUUUAGAGGGGGGUAGAAUUCCAGGUGUAGCGGUGAAAUGCGUAGAGAUCUGGAGGAAUACCGGUGGCGAAGGCGGCCCCCUGGACAAAGACUGACGCUCAGGUGCGAAAGCGUGGGGAGCAAACAGG